CCCUACGGGGUGCAGCAGGCCGAAAACACCGGCUAAUGAAUAUUCCACUGAUGUGGUAAAUACGUUUGAGCCAAGCCCUCCCGACUGGGGAUGGAUUGACGAGAAGAGCUGCACGGACUCGAUGGUCCUCGCGGGACAAAAGUCAUAUUUUAAUGCAGCCGGCCAGGAAUUCAGUCCUACAUAUACCAGUCCGCUCCGCCCGAUGUUCCGCACGGAGAACGACCUGAUCGAUGUAUCCGUGGAUCGCAGGACUCCGGCGGUAUUCCCGGGAGCCUGGCUCGUUCUUACCGUCAGAUCCGGCAGGAAAGAUCUGAAAUGGAAUGCCGCAGCGGUUAACGAUUUCGUCGUUCCCGGCAGCAAAGGAAUUGGCGGGGGGGC
rnacentral:rRNA from 1 species